rnacentral:tRNA from 1 species
UGCCCGUUAGCUCAGUGGCAGAGCACCCGUUCGACUUACGGGAGGUCGCAGGUUCGAAACCUGCAUGGGCUA